GAUGAACGCUGGCGGCGUGCUUAACACAUGCAAGUCGAACGGAAAGGCCCUGCCUUUGUUGGGUGCUCGAGUGGCGAACGGGUGAGUAACACGUGAGUAACCUGCCCUUGACUUCGGGAUAACUCCAGGAAACUGGGGCUAAUACCGGAUAGGAGCACCGGCUGGAUGGUGUGGGGGGGAGAUUUUCGGCGGUGGGGGGUGGACGCGCGGCUUAACAGCUUGUGGGUGGGGUAGUGGCAUCCCAAGGCCUUGGCGGGUCGCCGGCCUGAGAGGGUGACCGGCCACAGGGGGACUGAGAUAGGGCACAGACGCCUACGGGGGGCAGCAGGGGGGAAUAUUGCACAAGGGGCGGGAGCGUGGUGGAGCAGCGGCGCGUGCGGGAUGGGGGCCUGCGGGGUGUAAACCGCUUGCGCGGGUGACGGAGCGUGAGUGACGGUAAUGGGUGAAGAAGCACCGGCUAACUACGUG
rnacentral:rRNA from 1 species